UAGCGUGAUGAUCAAGUGACACGGAAAGGCAUUCCUCAAUCUGAACAUAUACUGUCGAACCCGUCAAAUUAGUUUCAGCCUUGUCUGACA
rnacentral:snoRNA from 1 species